CCUACGGGAGGCAGCAGUGGGGAAUUUUGGACAAUGGGCGCAAGCCUGAUCCAGCAAUGCCGCGUGCAGGAUGAAGGCCUUCGGGUUGUAAACUGCUUUUGUACGGAACGAAAAAGUCUGCCCUAAUACGGCGGGCCCAUGACGGUACCGUAAGAAUAAGCACCGGCUAACUACGUGCCAGCAGCCGCGGUAAUACGUAGGGUGCGAGCGUUAAUCGGAAUUACUGGGCGUAAAGCGUGCGCAGGCGGUUAUAUAAGUCAGAUGUGAAAUCCCCGGGCUCAACCUGGGACCUGCAUUUGAGACUGUAUAGCUAGAGUACGGUAGAGGGGGAUGGAAUUCCGCGUGUAGCAGUGAAAUGCGUAGAUAUGCGGAGGAACACCGAUGGCGAAGGCAAUCCCCCUGGACCUGUACUGACGCUCAUGCACGAAAGCGUGGGGAGCAAACAGGAUUAGAUACCCUGGUAGUCCACGCCCUAAACGAUGUCAACUGGUUGUUGGGUCUUCACUGACUCAGUAACGAAGCUAACGCGUGAAGUUGACCGCCUGGGGAGUACGGCCGCAAGGUUGAAAACUCAAAGGAAUUGACGG
rnacentral:rRNA from 1 species